rnacentral:rRNA from 1 species
AGGAGGUUGGCUUAGAAGCAGCCAUCCUUUAAAGAAAGCGUAAUAGCUCACUGGUCUAGUGAUUUUGCGCGGAAAAUAUAACGGGGCUAAAGUAAGUACCGAAGCUGUAGACUUGAUUUUAUCAAGUGGUAGGAGAGCGUUCUAUUUGCGUCGAAGGUAUACCGGUAAGGAGUGCUGGAGCGAAUAGAAGUGAGCAUGCAGGCAUGAGUAGCGAUAAUUAAUGUGAGAAUCAUUAAC